AUUGAACGCUGGCGGCAUGCUUUACACAUGCAAGUCGAACGGCAACGAGGAGAAGCUUGCUUCUCUGUCGGCGAGUGGCGAACGGGUGAGUAUAGCAUCGGAACGUGCCAAGUAGUGGGGGAUAACCAAACGAGAGUUUGGCUAAUACCGCGUAAGCUCCAAGGAGGAAAGUAGGGGACCUAAAUAAGGCCUUACGCUAUUUGAUCGGCCGAUGUCGGAUUAGCUAGUUGGUGGGGUAAUGGCUCACCAAGGCAAUGAUCCGUAGCGGGUCUGAGAGGACGAUCCGCCACACUGGGACUGAGACACGGCCCAGACUCCUACGGGAGGCAGCAGUGGGGAAUUUUGGACAAUGGGGGAAACCCUGAUCCAGCCAUGCCGCGUGUAUGAAGAAGGCCUUAGGGUUGUAAAGUACUUUUGUUAGGGAAGAAAAGCUAGUUUUUAAUAAAAAUUAGUGAUGACGGUACCUAAAGAAUAAGCACCGGCUAACUACGUG
rnacentral:rRNA from 1 species